rnacentral:rRNA from 1 species
UUGCNANUGGGGGAACCCUGAUGCAGCGACGCCGCGUGAGCGAUGAAGCCCUUCGGGGUGUAAAGCUCCUUCGUCAGGGAAGAUGAUGACGGUACCUGGAGAAGCAGCUGCGGCUAACUACGUGCCAGCAGCCGCGGUAAUACGUAGGCAGCAAGCGUUGUUCGGAGUUACUGGGCGUAAAGGGUGUGUAGGCGGCCUUUUAAGUUUGGUGUGAAAUCUCCCGGCUUAACUGGGAGGGUGCGCCGAAUACUGAAGGGCUAGAGUGCGGGAGAGGAGAGUGGAAUUCCUGGUGUAGCGGUGAAAUGCGUAGAUAUCAGGAGGAACACCGGUGGUGUAGACGGCUCUCUGGACCGUAACUGACGCUGAGACACGAAAGCGUGGGUAGCAAACAGGAUUAGAUACCCUGGUAGUCCACGCCCUAAACGAUGCAUAUUUGGUGUGGGUCAUUCAGUUGAUCCGUGCCGGAGCUAACGCGUUAAAUAUGCCGCCUGGGGAGUACAGUCGCAAGGCUGAAACUCAAAAGAAUUGACGGA